UACGAAGGGGGGCUAGCGUUGCUCGGAAUGACUGGGCGUAAAGGGCGCGUAGGCGGUUUGGACAGUCAGGCGUGAAAUUCCUGGGCUUAACCUGGGGGGCUGCGCUUGAUACAUCCAGACUUGAGUGGGGGAAGAGGGUCGUGGAAUUUCCAGUGUAGAGGUGAAAUUCGUAGAUAUUGGAAAGAAACACCGGGUGGCGAAGGCGGCGACCUGGUCCGACACUGACGCUGAGGCGCGAAAGCGUGGGGAGCAAACAGG
rnacentral:rRNA from 1 species